rnacentral:rRNA from 1 species
CCUACGGGAGGCAGCAGUGAGGAAUAUUGGUCAAUGGUCGGGAGACUGAACCAGCCAAGCCGCGUGCGGGAGGAAGGUACAGAGUAUCGUAAACCUCUUUUGUCCGGGGACAAAGACUGUGACGCGUCCCCGGAUGAGUGUACCUGAAGAAAAAGCAUCGGCUAACUCCGUGCCAGCAGCCGCGGUAAUACGGAGGAUGCGAGCGUUAUCCGGAUUUAUUGGGUUUAAGGGGUGCGCAGGCGGUCUGUUAAGUCAGCGGUAAAAGCCCGCGGCUCAACCCCGGCCCGCCGUUGAAACUGGCAGUCUCGAGUUGGAGAGAAGUAUGCGGAAUGCGCGGUGUAGCGGUGAAAUGCAUAGAUAUCGCGCAGAACUCCGAUUGCGAAGGCAGCAUGCCGGCUCCACACUGACGCUGAGGCACGAAAGCGUGGGUAUCGAACAGGAUUAGAUACCCCAGUAGUC